rnacentral:lncRNA from 1 species
UUUAUCUAAAACAUAGUUACAAAUAAUAGCAAAUCCUUUGAAAGGAACAAAACAGAAUGAGAUGGGUGUCUUACAUCUGAUGUGGGUGGGACAAGUCCUCUCUCAGGAGGAAAUAUUUUGGGCCAACUCUUCCUUGCCUUGGCAAAUAUGACUUAGUGAAGUAAUGGAUUUUUCAUGCAGGGUGUUGAAAGGCUCAGGGUGCUCGCCCACAUCAGUGAGGGAGGUGCAGCUGAUGAAGGAAGUGCUGGGUGCAGAAGGGGAUGCUCUGAAAAGGUGGCUUCUGUUUGCAGUUUCAAAGCUCAGAUAUUUCCUGGGAAUAGAAAUUCAUCUCCUGGAAGUAAACGCAAUAGUAAAAUCCAAAUAAGGAGCUGUGGUAUUUGGUGUGACUUAAGAAGUUUUUAAAAUCUGGACUUUGCUCUUGUUAGCUCUGUGCACCUGAGAGACUUUGAACAUGCAUUUUUAAACUGCAGCUUCUCUCUAUAUAAAUGGGCUAUAUGGGAAUUGAACAAUGAGAUCACAUGGACACAGGAAGGGGAAUAUCACACUCUG